rnacentral:rRNA from 1 species
GUGGGGAAUCUUGCGCAAUGGGCGAAAGCCUGACGCAGCCAUGCCGCGUGAAUGAUGAAGGUCUUAGGAUUGUAAAAUUCUUUCACCGGGGACGAUAAUGACGGUACCCGGAGAAGAAGCCCCGGCUAACUUCGUGCCAGCAGCCGCGGUAAUACGAAGGGGGCUAGCGUUGCUCGGAAUUACUGGGCGUAAAGGGCGCGUAGGCGGAUCGUUAAGUGAGGGGUGAAAUCCCAGAGCUCAACUCUGGAACUGCCCUUGAUACUGGCGAUCUUGAGUGUGAGAGAGGUAUGUGGAACUCCGAGUGUAGAGGUGAAAUUCGUAGAUAUUCGGAAGAGCACCAGUGGCGAAGGCGACAUACUGGCUCAUUACUGACGCUGAGGCGCGAAAGCGUGGGGAGCAAACAGGAUUAGAAACCCGGGUAGUCC